rnacentral:rRNA from 1 species
AACGAACGCUGGCGGCGCGCCUAAUACAUGCAAGUCGAGCGAGAAGACGUAGCAAUACGUUUGUAAAGCGGCGAACGGGUGAGGAAUACAUGGGUAACCUACCCUCGAGUGGGGAAUAACUAGCCGAAAGGUUAGCUAAUACCGCGUACGCUCCUUGGACUUCGGUUCAGGGAGGAAAGCGAUACCGUGGGUAUCGCGCUCUUGGAUGGGCUCAUGUCCUAUCAGCUUGUUGGUGAGGAACGGCUCACCAAGGCUUCGACGGGUAGCUGGUCUGAGAGGACGAUCAGCCACACUGGCACUGCGACACGGGCCAGGACUCCUACGGGAGGCAGCAGUAAGGAUAUUGCGCAAUGGGCGAAAGCCUGACGCAGCGACGUCCGCGUGGGGGAUG